UACAGAGGUCUCAAGCGUUUGUUCGGAUUCAUUGGGCGUAAAGGGUGCGUAGGCGGCGCGGUAAGUCGGGUGUGAAAUCUCGGGGCUUAACUCCGAAACUGCAUUCGAUACUGCCGUGCUUGAGGACUGGAGAGGAGACUGGAAUUUACGGUGUAGCGGUGAAAUGCGUAGAUAUCGUAAGGAAGACCGUGGCGAAGGCGGGUCUCUGGACAGUUCCUGACACUGAGACACGAAGGCCAGGGGAGCAAACGGG
rnacentral:rRNA from 1 species